AGGUGAUGAUGUGGGCAACUUCGCUGAAGUUCAUUGAAUAUGUCCCAUGCCUCAUAUAUAACUUCUCCAUCAUGUUGAAAGAAAUAUAUAAUUUCUUUCAUCAAUCU